UGCAAACAUAGCACAUCAUGAAGCCAUGUCCAGGGAUGCUAGGCUACUUUGGGUGAUGCCCACUGCUAAUACUUCAGGUACAACAAUGGUAAAGCCAGACAGGGUGGAUGGCCCAUCAGUGAGGACAAUGAGUUGUGAAAAGCUUGGCCUUCCUGUGGAUGCUCCAUACUGCCACUGACUCAUGGACGCUGUGAUACUACAGGGUCAAGUGGUCUUGUCACAUGCUACUAAAACAUUACCUGGGACUUCUUGUAACUUUCCACUGUGAGGGAAGGGGGGUCAAGUUUGGGAAACAAAGGAUUCUCGCCGUAUGUAAAUCCUAUUUAAGGGUGGGGAGGAAGGCAAACAGGACUCCUCCUCUCCAUGGCCUGACUGCCCAAGAAGAAAAACUGAAGGCAAGGGGGGAGUCCAGACUGAGACGGGGUCCAGUCUGAAAAGGAAUAUAACUGGAACUCUGAACCACAGAAGGUUUGCAGACUGCCUGCAACAAUAUCUAGGGUGAGAAGUACUAUUUGUAACCAAUUUCUUUAGUGAAACCAGCUUGGUUUGCCUGUUUGAUUUUAUUUGCUUAGUAAUCUGCUUUGUUCUGUUUGUUACCCCUUUUACCACUUAAUAUCUGCCUUUUAUAGUUAAUAAAAUGUGUUUUAUUAUUAAA